AUUGAACGCUGGUGGCAUGCCUAAAACAUGCAAGUCGAAUGGGGCAGCAAUGCCUAGUGGCGGACGGGUGAGGAAUACGUAGGAAUCUGCACUUAAGUGGGGGAUAACCAGGGGAAACCCUGACUAAUACCGCAUGAACGCUUCGGAACAAAGAGGGGGACAGCAAGGCCACUCGCUUCUGGAUGAGCCUAAGUCUGAUUAGCUAGUUGGUAGGGCAAAGGACUACCAAAGCAACGAUCAGUAACUGGACUGAGGGGAUGAUCAGUCACACCGGAACUGAGACACGUUCCGGACUCCUACGGGAGGCAGCAGUGGGGAAUAUUGGACAAUGGGCGCAAGCCUGAUCCAGCAAUGCCGCGUGUGUGAAGAAGGCCUUCGGGUUGUACAGCACUUUAGCCUGGAAAGAAAAAACUUUGGUUAACACCCAAAGUCUUGCCGGUACCAGGAGAAUAAGCACCGGCUAACUCUGUGCCAGCCGCCGCCGUAACAC
rnacentral:rRNA from 1 species